UACGUAGGGGGCUAGCGUUGUCCGGAAUCAUUGGGCGUAAAGCGCGUGUAGGCGGUCCGGUAAGUCUGCUGUGAAAGUCGGGGGCUCAACCCUCGGAAGCCGGUGGAUACUGCUGGGCUAGAGUGCGGAGGAGGCGAGUGGAAUUCCUGGUGUAGCGGUGAAAUGCGCAGAUAUCAGGAGGAACACCGAUGGCGAAGGCAGGUCUCUGGGCAUUAACUGACGCUGAGGAGCGAAAGCAUGGGGAGCGAACAGG
rnacentral:rRNA from 1 species